rnacentral:rRNA from 1 species
AUGAACGCUAGCGGCAUGCCUCAAACAUGCAAGUCGAACGCGAAAAUUCCUUCGGGAAUGAGUAGAGUGGCGUCCGGGUGAGUAACACGUAGCUAACGUACCCCUCCGCUGGGGACAACUCCGGGAAACCGGAGCUAAUACCGAAUGAUCUGACUUUGUCUGCGGACUUAGUUGGUAAAGCCGAAAGGCGCGGAGGGAUCGGGCUGCGGCAGAUUAGCUUGUUGGUGAGGUAACGGCUCACCAAGGCGACGAUCUGUAGCUGGUCUGAGAGGAUGAUCAGCCACACUGGAACUGAAACACGGUCCAGACUCCCACGGGAGGCAGCAGUUGGGAAUAUUGGACAAUGGGCGCAAGCCUGAUCCAGCAAUGCCGCGUGAGGGAUGAAGGCUCUCGGGUCGUAAACCUCUUUCAGCAGGGAAAAAGGGAAACUUGAUGGUACCUGCAGAAGAAGCACCGGCUAACUACGU